rnacentral:lncRNA from 1 species
GCAUCCUAUGACCUACAAUCACAUGAUUUCCAAACUUAGUGCAUCCAUUGCCAAGAAAGAUGACGAUCAUAUCACCUUUUGUAAUAAUUCAAUGCCUCUUUUUGUAAAGCCAUAUCAUAAAUAUAAUGAAAUUAAAAGACAAAUUAAUCAAUCAAAUAACAAAAAUUUGAAAUUUACAUGGCAGUAGGUGAGGAAGUUGUUCAGUUAAGAAUGAAGAGAGACCACACCCGGGAAAUAUUAUUGAGGGCAUAGAUGUUGACUUCCCAUAUUCACACCUAAUUAAAAAGGUGAUUAAGAAAAUAAACAAAAACAACCCAAAAACAGUGAAAGAUAUAUUGCUACGAAAGAUUGUUCAAAAUGAUCCCAAGUUAUAAAAAUGAACUCUUUCAUUAAGAUAACCUUUUUGAAUACUCUUAUCCUUUUUUUUUUGUUUGCCUUCAAAAUUAUAAUAUUUCCUUUAUUUAUGUUAUUUUAUUUACUUUAUCAUAUUUUUUCUAAUUUUUCAUUUAUUUCUUCUACUUACUUUUUCUCGUCUAUGAAGUCUCAUUAUAACUUCAUCUUUCACUUAAUCUCUCUCUUACCCCAUAAUUUCAUCUUUAGUUUAGUCAUGUCUUAUGAAGCUAAUUGCAUUUCCCUCCCUAGCUUACUCUCUAAGUUGUUAGUAAUCCUCGAUCUCAAUUCUUUCUCGUAGUCCAUUUUUAUUUUCAUUCAAGGUGUUCAUUAAAAUCACACAAGGGCUAAAUUCAAAUUAUAAGAGUUAAUUUCAAUUACAUUCCCUCAAGUUUUGGCUUAGAUACACCUUACUUCAACCGAUUUAAAAUUUCAUCAAUUAUCUCCCUUAUUUUAAGUGAAAAGGGCGGUGAGUAAAAUUAAUAAAUGAAAAGGUAAGAGAUGUAUUUGAUGAAAUUUCAAAUCAAUGAGCGAAAGUGUAUUUAGCUGAAACAUCAUGGAAAAUGAAUUAAAUUAACUUUAUACAAAACUUAACUGAGAUCUCAAACUUCAUAUCUUAUCACAGUCAAUUGAACUUAUCUUGAUGAGUUUGAAGUCUCAAAAUUGUUUUGAGAUCCCUACCUAGAAAUAAUUGCUAAGGCCCUUAAUUUUUUGAUUAAAAUGUCUGUGAGCUUGAUUGAGAUCAAUUUGGAUUACUUUUAGAGAUUCUAGGGGGAUUUAGAAGAAUAUAUGAAGGAAAAAACUUAGGGAAGAUGAAAAGUGCUAGUUAGAGCAGCCUUCUAUUGCACCAGAAGAAGUGGGCGCACCCUUCUACUAUGCCAAAAGGACUUGACGCAUCUGUAUAAGUACGCUAGGAAGGAAAAUAAAGCAACAAGCCGGCCUUUGACAUGAGAGAUGGAGAACCCUCUCCCAGACUUAACUGGCGCACCUUUUAAGUGCGCCAAGGAAAAGAAAGAGUUGUGGCUCAACCCCAUCAAGGAUUGAUAGGCAUUCUCUGCCCACUAAAGAUUAAAUGUGUUAGCACAUCUCUUAUCUCCCUCCAUGAAUAAAUGGUGCAUUUAAUUAUACAUACACUGUAAGCAUUGGGCUGCCUAUCCGAUGGUGCAAUUCAAAAGCUGUGGCACACUUGGUCAACGUAUGAGAUGCUUCCUCAUGCAUCCAACAAUCUUGCAUGGGUGGGGCACACCCAACCUAAGUGUUCUCGAAGUUUGGAUGGUGUUGGAGCUGUUCUCUCCAAACUUCCAGCUUCUUCUUGUCUCACGUUCACCUGCAAUGCAAGGUUUACCCGGUGAAGCCCUGGGCAGACCCCUCCGAUAGUUAAGUCUGUUGGAGUGUGAUAAGCCAACUUCUUUUUAAUUUUUCUUCUUAGCUGUGUUCUUAUACAUCUCUUCACUUACCGCCGGGACCGGAGAUAAUGGGGGCAUUUUCA